UUUGGUAGUUUUAUCAGUGAAAUAGGUAACGUGGGGGCUCAGCGGUUCCCCCGCGAUCAGUCGACGGCGGAUCGUCGUCGACUACGGACCUCUCUAGGGAGGAUUUUUAAAUUUUCUAUAUAAUUUUAAUAUGAAAAAUUUGAAAUUAUAUUCGUACAGUCGAUACAUAGUACAACUAUCUUGUUUAUUUGAUUGAUCUUUUCUUUGUAGUAAAAAUCACUCAUUCAUUCCUUACCUAGUAGAGGUGGGAGGGAUAAAAACGGAAAGCGCUCUCAACUCACUGUACACAUAGUUACAAUUCUGAUAACUGAUUAAUAACAGAAAACAAUAAAAUGAACACGACGUAAAUAUGUGGGAACAUUGUAAUUCAACAUGGCCGUUAUCUGAGCAAAACAAAGCCACGCUGUGAGCGCGUGGCGGUCGCACGACUCCAUUUUAAAUAUAGCACUCGCGCUGAAAUGUACAACCACUACAAGAUGAACUACUGCGUCCUUCUCACUACUUACUUUGUAGGUAGUUAAGGCGAUUUUGUGUUAAAACAGAGGUUCAAAUGUAUAUUGGUCGAUUUAAAGUUCUUUAGCGCCUCGCCUUCGUUGAAGGAGUACCACGCCCUGCUGAUGUGUCCGAUGCGUCUUGCGUUCCAAAUUUGAAAUUCUUGGCAAUGUUUUUAAGGUUUUAAUGUUUUUUUUCUUUAUCUCUGUCUUUUUGUUUCAUUUAGCCAGUGUUAAUAUAAAUGUAAACAAAAGGUUUUUUUAUCUUCUAACGAACCGUAGAUAUUAAAUGUAUAUUAAUGGCGUAGGCUUUGUAAAUAAAUAAAUUACAUGUCUAAUCAAAGAACAUAGGUUUAGUCGUCGGUAUUUGUAAAGUUAUUUAAUAUUACCUUUGGAUUUAUUAAAUGUUAUUCAUUUUAAACAACCAUAAUUUUACUGCGCAUUAAACAGUUUCUAGAAUUAAAAUAAAUGAGUUAGUCAUACACGCAUGUAUAAAAUUUGAUACUGUUGCGGAGCGAGAUUAAUAAAACAUGAA